rnacentral:rRNA from 1 species
ACAGCAGCAGCCGCGGUAAUACAGAGGGUGCGAGCGUUAAUCGGAUUUACUGGGCGUAAAGCGUGCGUAGGCGGCUUCUUAAGUCGGAUGUGAAAUCCCUGAGCUUAACUUAGGAAUUGCAUUCGAUACUGGGAAGAUAGAGUAUGGGAGAGGAUGGUAGAAUUCCAGGUGUAGCGGUGAAAUGCGUAGAGAUCUGGAGGAAUACCGAUGGCGAAGGCAGCCAUCUGGCCUAAUACUGACGCUGAGGUACGAAAGCAUGGGGAGCAAACAGGAUUAGAUACCCCUGUAGUCCCUGUCUCUUAUAC